UGGGGGAUAUUGCACAAUGGGCGAAAGCCUGAUGCAGCGACGCCGCGUGGGGGAUGAAGGCCUUCGGGUUGUAAACUUCUCUUGCUCUGAACAAGGCAUGCCUUUGGGGUGUGUUGAGUGUAGGGGUUGAUUAGCGCCGGCUAACUACGUGCCAGCAGCCGCGGUAAUACGUAGGGCGCGAGCGUUGUCCGGAAUUAUUGGGCGUAAAGGGCUUGUAGGUGGCUGGUUGCGUCUGUCGUGAAAGCUCAUGGCUUAACUGUGGGUUUGCGGUGGGUACGGGCUGGCUUGAGUGCAGUAGGGGAGGCUGGAAUUCCGGGUGUAGCGGUGGAAUGCGCAGAUAUCAGGAGGAAUACCGGUGGCGAAGGCGGGUCUCUGGGCUGUUACUGACGCUGAGGAGCGAAAGCGUGGGGAGCGAACAGG
rnacentral:rRNA from 1 species